rnacentral:rRNA from 1 species
GACGAACGCUGGCGGCGUGCUUAACACAUGCAAGUCGAACGGAAAGGCCAUGCUUUUGUGGGGUGCUCGAGUGGCGCACGGGUGAGUAACACGUGAGUAACCUGCCCUUGUCUUUGGGAUAACUUCAGGAAACUGGGGCUAAUACCGGAUAGGAGCUCCUGCUGCAUGGUGGGGGUUGGUAAGUUUCGGCGGUUGGGGCUGGAAUCGCGGGUUCUCCGCUUGUUGGUGGGGUAGUGGCGUACCAAGGCUUUGACGGGUAGCCGGCCUGGGAGGUGGGCCGGCCACAUUAGGACUGAGAUACGGCCCAGACUCCUACGGGAGGCAGCAGUGGGGAAUAUUGCACAAUGGGCGGAAGCCAGAGGCAGCAACGCCGCGUGCGGGAUGACGGCCUUCGGGUUGUAAACCGCUUUCGCCUGAGACGAAGCGUGAGUGACGGUAAUGGGUAAAGAAGCACCGGCUAACUACGUG